GUGCACCAGUCGCGAAUCUUCCACAAUGGACGAAAGUCUGAUGGAGCGACGCCGCGUGCGGGAUGAAGGCCUUAUGGGUUGUAAACCGCUGUCAGGGGGGAAGAACAUCGGAAUGAACAAUACUCAUUCCGACUGACGUUACCCCCAGAGGAAGCUCCGGCCAACUCCGUGCCAGCAGCCGCGGUAAUAGGGGGGGAGCAAGCGUUGUCCGGAAUUAUUGGGCGUAAAGGGCGUGCAGGCGGCGAGGUAAGUCGAAUGUGAAAUCUCACGGCUCAACCGUGAAACUGCGUUCGAAACU
rnacentral:rRNA from 1 species